rnacentral:rRNA from 1 species
UACGGGGGGGGGCAAGCGUUUGUUCGGAAUUACUGGGCGUAAAGGGCUCGUAGGUGGCCAACUAAGUCACACGUGAAAUCCCUCGGCUUAACCGGGGAACUGCGUGUGAUACUGGAUGGCUUGAGUUUGGGAGAGGGAUGCGGAAUUCCAGGUGUAGCGGUGAAAUGCGUAGAUAUCUGGAGGAACACCGGUGGCGAAGGCGGCAUCCUGGACCAAUACUGACGCUGAGGAGCGAAAGCCAGGGGAGCAAACGGG